CAGUCGAACGAGAGAAGAGAAGCUUGCUUUUCUGAUCUAGUGGCGGACGGGCGUGUAACACGUGAGCAAUCUGCCUUUCAGAGGGGGAUACCGAUUGGAAACGAUCGUUAAUACCGCAUAACAUAAUUGAACCGCAUGAUUUGAUUAUCAAAGAUUUAUCGCUGAAAGAUGAGCUCGCGUCUGAUUAGCUAGUUGGUAAGGUAACGGCUUACCAAGGCGACGAUCAGUAGCCGGACUGAGAGGUUGAUCGGCCACAUUGGGACUGAGACACGGCCCAGACUCCUACGGGAGGCAGCAGUGGGGAAUAUUGCACAAUGGAGGAAACUCUGAUGCAGCGAUGCCGCGUGAGGGAAGAAGGUUUUAGGAUUGUAAACCUCUGUCUUCAGGGACGAAAAAAGACGGUACCUGAGGAGGAAGCUCCGGCUAACUACGUGCCAGCAGCCGCGGUAAUACGUAGGGAGCGAGCGUUGUCCGGAAUUACUGGGUGUAAAGGGAGCGUAGGCGGGAUCGCAAGUCAGAUGUGAAAACUAUGGGCUUAACCCAUAAACUGCAUUUGAAACUGUGGUUCUUGAGUGAAGUAGAGGUAAGCGGAAUUCCUAGUGUAGCGGUGAAAUGCGUAGAUAUUAGGAGGAACAUCAGUGGCGAAGGCGGCUUACUGGGCUUUAACUGACGCUGAGGCUCGAAAGCGUGGGGAGCAAACAGGAUUAGAUACCCUGGUAGUCCACGCCGUAAACGAUGAUUACUAGGUGUGGGGGGACUGACCCCUUCC
rnacentral:rRNA from 1 species